GCUCCGGUAGUGUAGUCCGGCCAAUCAUUCCGGCCUUUCGAGCCGAAGACUCGGGUUCAAAUCCCGGCCGGAGCACCA
rnacentral:tRNA from 7 species